rnacentral:rRNA from 1 species
CCUACGGGAGGCAGCAGUGGGGAAUAUUGGACAAUGGGGGCAACCCUGAUCCAGCGAUGCCGCGUGGGUGAAGAAGGCCUUCGGGUUGUAAAGCCCUUUAGGUCGGGAAGCUGUACCGACAGAAUAAGCACCGGCAAACUCUGUGCCAGCAGCCGCGGUAAUACAGAGGGUGCGAGCGUUAAUCGGAAUUACUGGGCGUAAAGGGCGCGUAGGCGGUGGAAUGUGAGUGAUGUGAAAGCCCCGGGCUUAACCUGGGAAGGGCAUCGCAGACUAUUUUACUGGAGUAGAUGAGAGGGUGGCGGAAUUUCCGGUGUAGCGGUGAAAUGCGUAGAGAUCGGAAGGAACGUCAAUGGCGAAGGCAGCCACCUGGCACAACUGACGCUGAGGCGCGAAAGCGUGGGGAUCGAACAGGAUUAGAUACCCUGGUAGUC